GCGAGAAAAACUUUGCAAUGUGCGAAAGCACGACAAGGGUUAAUCCGAGUGGUUUCUGCUAAAGGAACCUUUUGCCAGUCCUAGAAACACUGGUGAAUAAGGGGUGGGCAAGUUCUGGUGUCAGCCGCCGCGGUAAAACCAGCUCCUCAAGUGGUCAGGAUGAUUAUUGGUCCUAAAGCAUCCGUAGCCUGCUUUGUAAGUUUCGGUAAAUCCAUAUGCUCAACAUAUGGGCUGCCGGGAAUACUGCAAAGCUAGGGAGUGGGAGAGGUAGACGGUACUC
rnacentral:rRNA from 1 species